rnacentral:rRNA from 1 species
AACGUAGGAUCCGAGCGUUGUCCGGAAUCACUGGGUGUAAAGGGUGCGUAGGCGGGCUUGCGCGUCAAGGGUUAAAGACCUCGGCUCAACCGAGGGAAUGCCCUUGAUACGGCAGGCCUUGAGUGCGGGAGAGGAUGGUGGAAUUCCUGGUGUAGUGGGAAAAGGCGUAGAGAUCAGGGGGAACACCGAAGGCGAAGGCAGCCAUAUGGUCCGCCACUGACGCUGAGGCGAGAAAGCGUGGGGAGCAAACAGG